rnacentral:lncRNA from 1 species
GCGCCCCGCCCCAUUGGCUGCCGAGAGCCUCUCGCGGCCCUCGGGCCGGCGCGCGUGCCGAAGCGCGCACACACAGGCGGGCUCGCGCUCCCGGCCGGCUCCAAGCACCUGAGUGAGAGGAUGCGAGACCGAGGAUGCGAGCGUCGGGCUGUGGACCACCGAGCCCAGGCUCGCCCACGCGGUGACUGCGCGCGUCCACCACGUCGAACAAUUGAAUCUCGGGGAUCGCGGCCCUCGGUCGCCCACCGCUUUGGGAGUUCCCUGCGUCCUAGAAGUCUGAGGAGUUACUCCACACCGCAGAAACCGGACGGCCUGCGCCGGGGGAAUCACGAGUGAAAAAAUGCUCUGGAAUUUGAGAAUAUUGGCACACAACUCUAUGAAUAUACUAAAAAAUACUGAAUUAUGCACUUCAAAAAGAUGAACUUAAUGGUACGUCUGUUAUAUCUCAAUAAAGUUGUUAUAAAAUAUCAAAAAAGGGGCACCUGGGUGGCUCAGUGGGUUAAAGCAUCUGCGUUCGGCUCAGGUCAUGAUCUCAGGGUCCUGGGAUGGAGCCCCGCAUUGGGCUCUCUGCUCAGCAGGGAGCCUGCUUCC